rnacentral:tRNA from 1 species
ACAAGAUUGGUCUAGUGGUUAAGACACCUAGCUAGAAACCAGGAGAUUGUGAGCUCUAGUCCCACUUUUGGCA